CUAUGCGCCUUGCCAGCCCGCUCAGGUGUGCCAGCCGCCGCGGUAAUACGUAGGUGGCGAGCGUUGUCCGGAUUUACUGGGCGUAAAGGGAGCGUAGGCGGACUUUUAAGUGAGAUGUGAAAUACUCGGGCUCAACUUGAGUGCUGCAUUUCAAACUGGAAGUCUAGAGUGCAGGAGAGGAGAAUGGAAUUCUUAGUGUAGCGGUGAAAUGCGUAGAGAUUAGGAAGAACACCAGUGGCGAAGGCGAUUCUCUGGACUGUAACUGACGCUGAGGCUCGAAAGCAUGGGUAGCGAACAGG
rnacentral:rRNA from 1 species